rnacentral:rRNA from 1 species
GACGAACCGUGCGAACGUUGUUCGGAAUCACUGGGCUUAAAGGGCGCGUAGGCGGGCCGCCGCGUCCGGGGUGAAAUCCCCCCGCUCAACGGGGGGACGGCCUCGGAUACGGGCGGCCUGGAGGCGGGUAGGGGCACGCGGAACUGUGGGUGGAGCGGUGAAAUGCGUUGAGAUCCACAGGAACUCCGGUGGCGAAGGCGGCGUGCGUGGACCCGUCCUGACGCUGAGGCGCGAAAGCCAGGGGAGCGAACGG